AAACGUAGGAGACAAGCGUUAUCCGGAGUUACUGGGCGUAAAGGGCGUGUAGGCGGCCUUCUAAGUGGGUUGUGAAAGCGACUGGCUCAACCGGUCGAGGCCGACCCAGACUGGGAAGCUAGGGGGCGGUAGAGGGGUGUGGAAUUCCGGGUGUAGUGGUGAGAUGCGUAGAGAUCCGGAGGAACACCAGAGGCGAAGGCGACACUCUAGGCCGCACCUGACGCUGAGACGCGACAGCACGGGGAGC
rnacentral:rRNA from 1 species